rnacentral:tRNA from 1 species
GAGGGUAUAGCUCAGUGGUAGAGCACAUGCUUAGCAUGCAUGAGGUCCUGAGUUCAAUCCCCACUACCUCCA